rnacentral:rRNA from 1 species
UGGGGAAUAUUGGACAAUGGGCGCAAGCCUGAUCCAGCAAUGCCGCGUGUGUGAAGAAGGUCUUCGGAUUGUAAAGCACUUUCGGCGGGGACGAUGAUGACGGUACCCGCAGAAGAAGCCCCGGCUAACUUCGUGCCAGCAGCCGCGGUAAUACGAAGGGGGCUAGCGUUGCUCGGAAUGACUGGGCGUAAAGGGCGCGUAGGCGGUGCAAUGGGUCAGAUGUGAAAUUCCCGGGCUUAACCUGGGGGCUGCAUUUGAAACUAUUGCGCUAGAGUUUGGAAGAGGGUCGUGGAAUUCCCAGUGUAGAGGUGAAAUUCGUAGAUAUUGGGAAGAACACCGGUGGCGAAGGCGGCGACCUGGUCCUUGACUGACGCUGAGGCGCGAAAGCGUGGGGAGCAAACAG